rnacentral:rRNA from 1 species
CCCCAUGGAACUUUAAACUAGUACCACCUCACAACUAAGACCACAUGACUACUAGUCUUUCGGCUGGGGCGACCACGGGGAAAAACAAAACCCCCACGAUGAAAGGAAAUAUCCUUAUCCUAGACCCACCUCUCCAAGAAUCAAUAAAUGACAUUUUUGACCCAACACUUGAUCAACGAACCAAGCUACCCUGGGGAUAACAGCGCAAUCCAUUUCAAGAGACCUCAUCGACAAAUGGGCUUACGACCUCGAUGUUGGAUCAGGGUAUCCUAGUGGUGUAGCCGCUACUGAAGGUUCGUUUGUUCAACGAUUAAAACCCU